AUCCCAGCAUGAGGAAGAGAUGUCUUUCUUCAGUUCGGCUGGCCGGAACACAGGUGCUGCAUGGCUGUCGUCAGCUCGUGUCGUGAGAUGUUGGGUUAAGUCCCGCAACGAGCGCAACCCUCGCCCCUAGUUGCCAUCAUUCAGUUGGGAACUCUAGGGGGACUGCCGGUGAUAAGCCGCGAGGAAGGUGGGGAUGACGUCAAGUCCUCAUGGCCCUUACAGGCUGGGCUACACACGUGCUACAAUGGCGGUGACAAUGGGCAGCGAAAGGGUGACCUCGAGCUAAUCCCAAAAAGCCGUCUCAGUUCAUAUUGUACUCUGCAACUCGAGUACAUGAAGGUGGAAUCGCUAGUAAUCGUGGAUCAACAUGCCACGGUGAAUACGUUCCCGGGCCUUGUAACACACCGA
rnacentral:rRNA from 1 species